rnacentral:tRNA from 1 species
CUCUUAUUGGCCUAGUCGUAUAGUGUGUUUAUUUCCACUAAAGUGGUGUGAGUUCAAAUCUUACAAAAGUGA